UUAAAACUUUUUUCAUCAUGGUCAGUCAUCGUAUCUCUUUCAUCCACGACUGUACCUUUGCCAAACAGUUUUCGCCACCCAGAUCUCCACGAUAUUGCUGUGAGCUCCCUCCUUUUCUUUCUUCGAUUUUCCAUAUGGUGAGAGGGGUUUUGCUCCUCCUUCUUCCUUCUUCUCAAAUCUGGUUCCUCAUGGAAGAUCUAGCCAGACUCUGUGUAUCCCAUUCUGGUUAGAGUAGUCAUCUCGUGCGAUGCAGGUUUCAUCUUCCUUUCUUUUGCUAUUUUUAAUUUCCCAUUUUUGAUUAAUUGUUAUUUAGUUUUUUGGUUUUGACUUAAGGAUGAAGAAGGUAGUAAAAAUAUUCUUGGUGUGAUGAUAGAUCUGUCGUUUAUUGUUUAUUGUUUAUUUGAAUGGAAGAUUGUUUGGUGAUUUAAGAGGUAGAAUAAGAAUAUAAUGUUGGUUUGUGUGCUAGGUCUGUUAAAUGGGAGUAGAAAAUAUGAAAAUGGUGAUAGAGAAAAGGAAUGGAGUGGGUUUCACUGUAAGAAAUUUUGUUCAUGAAAUUAAACAUGAAUAAAAAUAGAGAACCUGUAGCUUGAAAUAUGCAUGAUGCUUGAAAUAUGGGAAGAUUGAUUUAGUUUUUUAUGAUGAAUUUUGACUCAUUGAUUUUGCUUUGUUUCAGGAAGAUGACGACAAAACUUGUGGAGGAGAGAGGGCUGCAAUUGAAGCAAAUUAAUAUUACGUAAAGGUACAGUGCUUUGAAUUAAUUUAAUAUAAAUGUAAAGGAUAGUGCUUUGAAUUGAUCUUAUUUUAUUUGCAUUUCUAUUUUGAGAAGACCAUUUAAAAGAUUGGAGCUUUGAAAAUAUUCUACGUAUACAUCCAAAUGAAACUUAAAAUAUGCAUAAUAAUUCAUCGUACAUAUCAUGCUUUUGGCACCAUGUAAUAGUUAGCUGAAACAAAUUUUAUUUUAAAUUAUUCAUUGACUACUUUUACUAUUAAAUGAUGACUUUUCUCACACUUUUAAAAUUUAUGUAUACAUUCAUUUUAAAUGCUUUUUGAUAUGAUUUAUUUUUUUAUUUUAUUUCAAAGUUUAAUUUAUAAUUAUUUAGUUAGUUUUUAAGAUUACAAUAGUAAUAAUAAUAAUUAUUAUUAUUAUAUAUAAUCAGUUUUUUCUAUUACUUAAUAAUUGAAUAAUUUUACACUUAGUUAUUAUUGAUUUUUUAUUAUGUAAAUUUAAGUAUUUUUAAAAGUAUUUGCAUACUUAAAUUUAUUAAUAAUUGAAGUAGGUGCACAUGAAAUGAUGACAUGGAAAAAGAAGAAGAAGGUGAUGUUGUGUCAAAGCUUUAUGGCCAUGUUGUUGUCAAGGUUGAGCAGAAACCAAAAAAAUAUAUAAUAUAUAUGGAUAAAUUAUGGACAAAUUAUGCUCAUGUUUUGUUUAGAUUAUUUUUAAAUUUAAAAGUUAAAGUUAAACUUUUGUUUACACUACACAUUUUGUGUUAGACAUCUUACUAUUUAUUUUUCAUUUUGAAAUUUUUAUUAUGUACUUGAGUGGAAUAAUUU
rnacentral:lncRNA from 1 species